AGCGCCCCGCAUCCCCUUUUCUCUGCUGCGCCGCCUCGGCUGCUCUGCUCCUCCAUUCCGUUCGCCUUCGGAUUUCGGAAACUACCCACACCACAAAGAAACCGAAGCGGGGAACAGAGGCGAGAGAGGGGAGGGAGAUGGCGGAGGCGACGGCGUACGAGGAGCAGCGGCGGAGGCAGGUGGAGGCGAACAAGCGGAAGUUGGAGGAGCUGCAGCUCCACCACCUCUCCGCCGCCGUCAGAGAGGCCGCCGCCGCCGCCAAGCCCUCGCCGGUCAAGAAGCGGAAGGCGCGGGUGCCGCUUGACGCCGCCGACGCCGUGAUGCAGCCACUACGGCGGUCCGGCAGAGUCGCCAACCUCCCCGAUAAGCCCGCGUACCGCGAGGAGGUUCCUGCUUUCGCGAGGAGGAUUAGGAGGACGUACGGAAGAAAGGAUCUGGCCAACCGGGUGUACGCGACCGACGAGGCGAGGAGCUACACCAUCUCUAAGGCGGAGGAUCUUGAGCAAGAGCUGGACUCCAGGUUCCCCUUGUUCAUCAAGCCCAUGACCCAGUCCCAUGUCACCGGGGGCUUCUGGCUGGGCCUGCCGACUGGUUUCUGCCGGAAGCACCUGCCCAAGCGCGACGAGACGAUCACCCUGGUGGAUGAGGAUGAUGUCGAGUCCAACACGCUCUACCUCGCAAUGAAGAAGGGCCUCAGCGGUGGAUGGAGAGGGUUCGCCAUCCAGCACAAGCUGGUUGAUGGAGAUUGCUUGGUCUUCCAGCUGAUUGAGAGGACUAAGUUCAAGGUCUACAUAAUUAGAGCAAGUUCUUACUAUGAAAAUGAGGAUUGAUGAAACUAGUAGCUUGUAACGUGGUGAUUGGAGCACAGAUACAUUUCAUCGGUAUUUGAACUCUGUGAUCCACCUUUUACACAAUUUCAUUUCUGAACUCUGUGCUCCACCUUUUACACAGUUAUGGAGGUGGGUGCCUUGGACAAGCUCACAUCUGGAAAUUGCUGGGUGUGUUGAACCUUUUGGGUGGCAGAAAGUUAGCUGAUGUAUAAUUGUUUACAUAACCCAGUAUCUACCAAUGGCUAAUUUGUGUACUUCUUGGGCUUUACCACUUGCACGGUUCAGCAACCUGCACUAUGUAAGGGGAUGUUGAUGGCAAUUGGCCUCAUUUUGUAAAUGAUCGAUGCUCGUCCUUGUUUCUCUUGGAUCCA